rnacentral:lncRNA from 1 species
CGGAUGACUAAGAUGAGCAAUCAAGCUGGAUAUUUUUGGAUGACAGCUGAAGAAGACGAGAGAGAAAGAAGAUUCAGUUCAGAGAUGGGAGGUGAGGAGAGAAAACCAACUAAACUGAUUUUAAAGAUAAGAAACCUUGAAUGUGCAACCUAAAAGAAUAAGCCAAGGAUCCACAGACAUCCAGAAGAUUCCCUGUGUUUAUUACUUAUGUUAUUCCUGUC